rnacentral:tRNA from 1 species
GUUGCUGUAGCUCAGUGGUAGAGUGCAUGCUUUGUAUGUAUGGGUUCAAUCCUCAGCUUCU